AUUAGUGGCGAACGGGUGAGUAACACGUGAGUAACCUGCCUUACACAAGGGGAUAGCCUCUGGAAACGGAGAAUAAUACCCUAUAAAGUCUAAUCAGCCCAUGCUGGAAAGACCAAAGAUUUAUCGGUGUAAGAUGGACUUGCGUCUGAUUAGCUAGUUGGUGAGAUAAAAGCUCACCAAGGCGACGAUCAGUAGCCGGCUUGAGAGAGUGUACGGCCACAUUGGGACUGAGACACGGCCCAAACUCCUACGGGAGGCAGCAGUGGGGAAUUUUGCACAAUGGGGGAAACCCUGAUGCAGCGACGCCGCGUGAUUUAGAAGGCCUUCGGGUUGUAAAAAUCUUUUUUACGGGAUGAAAAUGACAGUACCGUAAGAAUAAGGUCCGGCUAAAUACGUGCCAGCAGCCGCGGUAAUACGUAUGGACCGAGCGUUGUCCGGAAUCAUUGGGCGUAAAGGGUACGUAGGCGGCCUAGUAAGUUAGAAGUUAAAGAAUAUAGCUCAACUAUAUAAAGCUUUUAAAACUGCUAGGCUUGAGAGAUGGAAGGGAAAGUGGAAUUCCUAGUGUAGCGGUGAAAUGCGCAGAUAUUAGGAAGAAUACCGGUGGCGAAGGCGACUUUCUGGUCAUCAUCUGACGCUGAGGUACGAAAGCGUGGGUAGCAAACAGGAUUAGAUACCCUGGUAGUCCACGCUGUAAACGAUGAGUGUUAGGUUCUUGGAAUAAUCUGGGAGCCGCAGCUAACGCAUUAAACACUCCGCCUGGGGAGUACGCACG
rnacentral:rRNA from 1 species